rnacentral:rRNA from 1 species
UACGUAGGUGACAAGCGUUGUCCGGAUUUACUGGGCGUAAAGAGCGUGUAGGCGGUCCGGUAAGUCCGCUGUGAAAGUCGGGGGCUCAACCCUCGAAUGCCGGUAGAUACUGUCGGGCUAGAGUACGGAAGAGGCGAGUGGAAUUCCUGGUGUAGCGGUGAAAUGCGCAGAUAUCAGGAGGAACACCUAUUGCGAAGGCAGCUCGCUGGGACGUAACUGACGCUGAGACGCGAAAGCGUGGGGAGCAAACAGG